rnacentral:rRNA from 1 species
CACGGGGGGAGCAAGCGUUGUUCGGAAUCACUGGGCGUAAAGGGUGUGUAGGCGGUUCUCUAAGUUUGGUGUGAAAUCUCCCGGCUCAACCGGGAGGGUGCGCCGAAAACUGGGAGACUGGAGUGCGGGAUGGGAGAGUAGAAUUCCUGGUGUAGCGGUGAAAUGCGUAGAUAUCAGGAGGAAUACCGGUGGUGUAGACGCCUCUCUGGACCGCCACUGACGCUGAGACACGAAAGCGUGGGUAGCAAACAGG